CAAAAACAUAGCUUUUUGUUAUAAAUAAAAAGUAGGGUCUGCCCAGUGAGUAAUUUUAACGGCCGCAAUAUUUGUGCGAAGGUAGCAUAAUCAUUUGUCUUUUAAUUGAUGACUGGAAUGAAUGGCUGGACGGGGAUAAGCUGUCUUAUAUAUAUAUAUUUGAAAUUUACUUUUAAGUAAAAAGGCUUAAAUGGUUUAGAGGGACGAGAAGACCCUAUUGAGUUUAAUAGAAUUUAUUUAAAUUUUUCUUAAAUUUUUAUAUAAUCUAUUUAGUUGGGGAGAUUUGAUAUUAUUAACUAUAUAAGAAUUAAUAGACUUUAAGUUUUUAGGAUCCAUAUUUAAUGAUUACUAAGAUAAAUUACCUUAGGGAUAACAGCGUAAUAUUUUUUUAGAGUUCAAAUCGAUUAAAAUGAUUACGACCUCGAUGUUGGAUUAAAGAACCUAAUUUGGAGAAGAUUUUAAUUUAGGUAGUCUGUUCGACUAUUAAAUCUUUAC
rnacentral:rRNA from 1 species